rnacentral:lncRNA from 1 species
CACGAGCCUGCUGGACAGCUUUAGGAGCUGUGGCGUCAUCGAUAAUCAGUAGAUCUGCGGUCAAAGUUCAGACUGGUUAUCAACAUUGUAACAUAACCCGAAAGAGAAAAAAGCCGUAGUUUGCUGUACGCAUUGGUUUUCAACAUCCAUGGGUCCAUAUAGGAGCUGAGGAUGAAGUAAACUGAUACAGAGGGAUGGAUCAUUAACAAAGGUAAGCAAAAAGCCAGUUGGUUUGAUCAAUUGCAGCCGAGGAUGAAGGAGUGGAGACAAUGGUUAUUUAGUUGGCCCAGCUUUUAAAAUGGUAUGUGACUACGUUGUGGAAAGUAAGCGAGGGAGAGGAAGUAGGCAUUUCCUUCAUAAACGCUGGCCCGAAAAAAAUUUACGGCCUUUACCAAUUCAAUAGAGGGAAACGAGCAAAAAAUCGUGAUCUUCCGUUACCUUUAUUUAAACAAGGCGUGUUUUGCAACCAGGUUUAAUUCAGUGGACUCUGUUAAGCUCUUCAACAUGUAGGGCAGAAACACCUUUUCACACACCCGCCUGCCUUUAGUCAGCUUUUCUCAACUUGCGCCAAGUUUGAUUAACUGUUUUCAUCCCCCAACAUCAGUUGUCUUCGAUCUUCUCCUGUUCCUUUUACCGCCAGGUGCCCAGAAAAUGGGUGUUUUCAUGAAGGAGCUACCUUUUCCCAAAACAUUACCUAUUCAUCCAUACCUUUUAACAAUUACAACCGCAGCCACUUAUCUCUAAUUUGAGGAUGUUAGAUGGUCUUUAUUGGUUAUACUCUAUAUCCGCCUGUCUCAAGAAGUGAAAGUCUUUUGAUGUGCGCUUAGAAUGUCUGCCAAUAUUUGACAUCUCUGCUAUAUGCAGCACCGUGACUUUCGGUCUAGUUUGCUAAGCUAGGAACAUUGAAAAGUAGAACAAGAACAAAUUGUUUAAAAAGCAAGAGGGGUAUUUGGGGAGGGGAGGGGGCAAUGUAUGAGAGGCUUCUGAUCCGCAUGUUGACUGCAGUUUUAGCCCAUGACUCGCACUCGCUCCAGCAGGAACUUGUCAUCAGACGCAUAAAAGAGGUGGUAGGCUUAGAGUUCCUAGAGCUAGAAACACAAAUUAUCUGCAUUCAUUUAUCCAAGCUGCAAUCUAGAUAUACAAUCCACGCCUAGAUAAGACACGCGUACGAAUGCAGAUGGCCAUACUACUUGCCACCCCCUCACUUUCCUAAGUGUUCACACAUAUAUUCAUGUUAUACUGUUUUCCUAUAUUUUUAAUAAUUGUGAGAUAGACUUUAAGUGCCAGCAUAAAUAUAUUGGAUGCAGUUAGUGUUAUUUGGUUUAUUUUAUUUUAUUUUAUUCUAUUUUAUUUGUAAAGUUAUGUUUUCUUGUUACCGUUGACAUACACAGCAAUUUCCCAACAAUUAUUGAUAAGAAUACUUUGUAUUUCGUGGGCAGUAUUCACUUUUCAUUCUUAGCAGGCUAAUAUUCUGGAAUGCUUCUGUCUUUAUAAAGCAUUCUUAGCACUUGUCCACUCUUACCUCUCUCUCUCUCUGUUGUUCUUUGUGUGUGUGUUGCUGUGAGUUCCGAGUAAUUUAACUGUUUCUUCUUCAUGACACUAAUUUUGCUGUCUCUUAUAUAUUCAACAACGUUGUCAAGUCCCUUCAAUAAUCAACUAUUUCCUUUUUCUACUGUUUAUAGUGAACGAUUAACUCGAGGGGUUUGAUUAGCACUCCAGCUGUUCUAUUCAUUUCUCUGUCACAAAUGUCAUUCAUAACGUUUUGAAGAGUUCGAAGUAUGUGUUUCAGUGGAACAGUAUAUUCAAUCUCUACUUUACUGUAUUUUAAUUUUUGUAGAUUAGGCUACUGGUUUUUUCUUUUAAUUUUCUGGGGUUUUCUUUUUUUCUUUUUCUUUUUUUUUUGUUUUUGUUUUUUUUUUUUUUUUUGUUAGCUUUUAGCUAGUUUUAUGACACCAAACAUCUGCUUUUUUCUCAUGUUUUCUACCAGUGGUCCAUUUCAUUCAUCAUUCAUAGUAGGUUUCUCUACCACAGUGUGAAUGUUUGUAAUUUUUUGGAUUUCAACAUGUGGAAACAGGUUGUCUUUAAUUAUUCAUUGUAUUGUGUUGCAGAGCUUAUCUAGCGUUUUUUUUAAAAGUAAGUUGCUUCCGUCAGAUUGUUAUUUCUGUCACUAAUAGAGUUUUAUUAUAAAAUUCAAGUCUGCCUUUACACACAUUGACGAAAAAUUGUGUUGUUACUUCUUUCAUCGCAUAGACUACUGUUACAGGGCAGUGUGUUUGUCCCUGGAUAAACCUCUAAUCGUGGGUAAAUGAUUAUUAUAUCUUCUUUGCUUCUACUCUAAAGCCUGUUUGACGUGAGUACUCCUAUCAGAAGCACUUGUCUCCCAUUUGCAAAUUAUUAAGAUUCUCAAGAUUCCUAUCUACUUUAAGAUAAUGAUUAUUUAAGGAGUAUAAACUGGUGGACAAGGACAACGUUAUGCAACUUAUCAAGAUGCCAGGAAAAGAAGAAAUGUAAGUUUCUAGAAUACAAGUUUCUUCUUCCUCCUUCCUAUUUUCGUUUUCUUAAUCAUCUUGACCAAACCAGUCAGCCAGUCAAACAAGAGAAGUAGGAUGACAAGUUAUCUCACCUCUUUGAGAGCUGGGUCGAGGAGGCGGAAAAGCAUUUGCACUACACGCCACAUGCCGUAGUUCAGCAACGUCCUGUCAGACGGAUGGAGGAAACAGUUUUGCAUGAUAAGUAUUGCAGGGUGUCCACAAACAUACACUAAGCUUUUAUAAGCUGCAAAUCUCUACCUUUUGCGUAAGAGAAUUAAGCAAAGUGCAACUUUGAAAGUAAAUUUAAAAUAUUUGCCAUAAUCAUCAAUACCCAGGUUUCAGAAACUGUAGUCAUGUUCCCGUUCUAUCUUGCUUUGCACCGUUUUCACAUUCUAUGAUGGAUAAUUGAACUCCACAAUACAUUUUCAAGAAAAAGAGGAAGAAUGCAGGGCAGCCUGAGAGCAAAGAUUUACAGUAAUCAAGCAUUUAUCGAAUAAAUGCACAGACAAGAAUGCUGGCAAUGUGUAGAACAUGGCGGAUGGCACUGAUCUUUAGUAGUUUAUAAUUGGCAGCCUGGCAGAUGACAGUUAUUUGUCUGUUAAGGGUCGUGUCAGCAGCGACCAUUUCAAAUGAAUGACUCAAAGAUGAUGCGAGAUGAACCAAACGACAGUAGAAAGACGAAUACAGCCUCCUAUAGGAGAUGGAGUAGCAGCCGAUGGGGUUAAGCAGUACAGUUGCGUGUCGUCAGCAUCUGACAGCUCGUCCGGACCGACCACAAAAUUGACGAAUAAACCGAAACUAGCGCGACCCAGAUUGGCGAAGUACUCAACGAUGUCUGAGAACGUCAUACACGUGUCUGUCCACAAUGGUUGAAGUGUCGGAUGGAUGGUGUCGCGGGCAAGGAAGUCGACUAACGGCUCAAUUCCACGAUUGCUCAAGCGCCUGUUGGAUCUCAUGACUGAUAAAAGUGGAACUGUGAAGGUCGUUUGCAGCACCAGUUAUCGGGUGUUGUGCCACCCAGUGUCGACAGG